UCGAGAUUAGUUGGACAUAGCAAGCAAUCUGGGUUUCAUUAACCAAAAGGAAUUCUUGCAAACAGUAGGAUGCAAUUCAGUGAAGAACAAUUUUAUUGAAAUUUUUGAAAGUCCAGAAGUUGUGAUGACUAAGACAGCUGAGGCUUCCACUGUCAGUACAGCUCCUACAAUGCUUCCUCUGAAAAAGGUUAUGUCAAGGUUCCCGCAUUUAGUGCACAAUGAUCAGUUUUUGCUAUCGUCGAAAAACUAUCCCACUGGAGUGAAAGAUUCUUCAGCAUUUGUUAUUCAUGGUAGCAAUAAUGACAACAGCA